UGCGCAUCGAGUAAUAUCAGUUGGAGAGAGUUAAACGUGUAACUGCACGGCAAUAACUUCCAGUUUACGGAAUUCAUUUGUACCAUGCAGCGUAUAAGCUCUGGCACGAGUUACCCGAUUUUUACUGACGAAGAAAGGAAAAAGGUACUUCUUGAAUGAUUUGUUUUCAAGGAGCACCCACGUUGUGCUCAGUUUGUUUCAGUCUGUUUUGUAUGUUAUAUGUUACACCCUAAAGUAACCAGGGUUUUAUCGGUUCUAUGUAUUUAUUUAUUGUUUCAUGUGCCUGUUUGUGUCAAUUCUUGUCAAUGUUGUCUUGUAAAUCUAGAUGAGAAACAUGUAUCUUUUGAUUUGAAACUUAUUUAUCGAAGAAACGAAUAAUCACAGGUUAAUAGUCACAACUUUUACUAUCAGAUAGCUACUAAUCCGAAAUACGACAGAGACAAAUAAUAAACAAUCAGUCUUAAUUAUAUAUUAUAGUUAUCAUUGAUAGAUACUUAGAUGGAGAUUGAUAGAUUACAAUGGUUAGUUUUGUUUUGAAGUGAAAAACUGAAAGUUUAUAUAAGUAUAUUUAGCGAGCAGAGAAAUGAGAGAGAAGCCUAGCUUGAAAUUGAUAAUUACUACGAGAGCUAUUUUUGUCUUGAAGUGAAAAAUUGAUACGAGCUAUUUCUGAGCAGGGGGAAUUAGAGAGGCGUUUAGAUCGAGGCUGAUAAUUACCAAAUUUUACCAGUUAUUUCUAUCUCGAAAUGAAAAAUUGGAAAUUGAUAUAAGCGAUUUGCGAGCAGGGAAAUUAGAGAAAAGCCUAUUCAUAGCGGCGCAGCCAUUUUCCGGGACUCCGUCGCGUUAAACUUAGAUGCCGUACGACCCGGCAAAUUUUGGAUCCGUGAACAGGAAAACGUAUUUGGACCGGCGUGUCUCCUAUAUAGCAGAAACCAAUCUAUACUUGAGUAUACUUGAAAAUAUCGUUGAAUAAAUUGCAACCUUGACUGAAUAAGUGAGAGAACCCGAUGUUAAACGAGAGAAAUCACUUGUCGAGGAAAAUUAGUGAAAUUUUCCGCGACAGCGUGUAGCGAUUGAGUGUCUACUUCGACAGUUUGGAUCAUUGGACCGAUCCAUUGUUGAUCAUGCAUCAAUGGUACCGUUAAAAGCUGACCUAAAUAACUUCGCUCCUCGGUAAUUCUAACUAUGUUCGAGAGAUCUUCACCGAGGCCUUUAACUCGAGCAUCUCGAACGAUUUCAAUGACAAAGAGUAGAGGGGAUCUGUGAGCAUCGGUGUUGCGUUACUCUGCCCUAAUUUAGACUCACCACGUACCAGCCACGUUCGCUCCCACCACGAAACAUAAAAUUCGUCACGGAAAUUCAUACGUGAUUUCUGCUGCUGACCAUAUUUACCCUGCAAUCUCUGCUAUUCACGACAGUUCGUUCUUUCUCACUGUUUCGUGAAUAUUGUCCGAAACAUUUCGGAAUCGGUACUGUUGCUUACGUUAAUAUCGAAUGUCAUUCCAGCCUAAUAAAGUAGAAGGAGAAAGAGAAAAUCCACUGUUUUUGUGUCAUAAUCGAUCCUCAAUAAUGUAUUAAUAUAUAUAUUCUCGUAAGAAAAGAAACAAUUAGAUGCGCGUGUCUCUUGCGACGCUUUUCUAAUAAAUUGAAAAAGGAAAAACGAGGAGAAAUAAUUCCUACGGAAACUCGCGAAACAAACGAUUGCACAAGAAUGUCAAGGAGAAAAUCCAUGCAUCACCAAUGUAUUUGUAGAGAUGAUACAAAAAGAGGUUGUGUCGUAAAAAUCUCGAUCAGCGAUUCGGAAUGUGCGGAGGCGAACACGAGGGCGCGGGUGUUGCGUUCCUUGUAUACCAUUCCCACUGCUUUUGAUCUAUUUUCGCGCGAAGAUAUAAAACGCGUAUUGUGGCAGAAAAUAAACUCGCGUCAAGCAUCAUUGCGAC